rnacentral:sRNA from 1 species
AGCUGCUGCCGAAGAUGGCGGAGGUGCAGGUCCUGGUGCUUGAUGGUCGAGGCCAUCUCCUGGGCCGCCUGGCGGCCAUCGUGGCUAAACAGGUACUGCUGGGUAAGUCGCUGCUCGCGGCCCCUCUGUCAUGGGCCCCCGCUGGCGGUCAGUGAUGAGCAACAUUCACCAUCUUUCGUUUGAGUCUCAUGGCCAUGAGAUCAACCCCAUGCACCGCUCUGAGACCUGCCAGCCACUCUUCCCCGGGGUUGGGGACUCCAGGCUCAAGAAGUAAUUAUGUAUUAGGCUAAGUUUUCAUUUAAACAUGAACUUAGUUCUGGCGAGUACUGCGCUGUGUCUGGAGGGUGACUGCAUAGGCGGUGGUAGAACCCUCAGGUGGCUCAGCCCUUCUAAGACUUUCCCUCCCUCUAGGCCGGAAGGUGGUGGUCGUACGCUGCGAAGGCAUCAACAUUUCUGGCAAUUUCUACAGAAACAAGUUGAAGUACCUGGCUUUCCUCCGCAAGCGGAUGAACACCAACCCUUCCCGAGGCCCCUACCACUUCCGGGCCCCCAGCCGCAUCUUCUGGCGGACCGUGCGAGGUAUGCUGCCCCACAAGACCAAGCGAGGCCAGGCCGCUCUGGACCGUCUCAAGGUGUUUGACGGCAUCCCACC